GUCGAGCGAACAGACGAGGAGCUUGCUCCUUUGACGUUAGCGGCGGACGGGUGAGUAACACGUAGGUAACCUACCUAUAAGACUGGGAUAACUUCGGGAAACCGGAGCUAAUACCGGAUAAUAUUUCGAACCGCAUGGUUCGAUAGUGAAAGAUGGCUUUGCUAUCACUUAUAGAUGGACCUGCGCCGUAUUAGCUAGUUGGUAAGGUAACGGCUUACCAAGGCAACGAUACGUAGCCGACCUGAGAGGGUGAUCGGCCACACUGGAACUGAGACACGGUCCAGACUCCUACGGGAGGCAGCAGUAGGGAAUCUUCCGCAAUGGGCGAAAGCCUGACGGAGCAACGCCGCGUGAGUGAUGAAGGUCUUCGGAUCGUAAAACUCUGUUAUUAGGGAAGAACAAACGUGUAAGUAACUGUGCACGUCUUGACGG
rnacentral:rRNA from 1 species